rnacentral:rRNA from 1 species
GCUAACUACGUGCCAGCAGCCGCGGUAAUACGUAGGUGGCAAGCGUUGUCCGGAAUUAUUGGGCGUAAAGGGCUCGCAGGCGGUUUCUUAAGUCUGAUGUGAAAGCCCCCGGCUCAACCGGGGAGGGUCAUUGGAAACUGGGGAACUUGAGUGCAGAAGAGGAGAGUGGAAUUCCACGUGUAGCGGUGAAAUGCGUAGAGAUGUGGAGGAACACCAGUGGCGAAGGCGACUCUCUGGUCUGUAACUGACGCUGAGGAGCGAAAGCGUGGGGAGCGAACAGGAUUAGAUACCCUGGUAGUCCACGCCGUAAACGAUGAGUGCUAAGUGUUAGGGGGUUUCCGCCCCUUAGUGCUGCAGCUAACGCAUUAAGCACUCCGCCUGGGGAGUACGGUCGCAAGACUGAAACUCAAAGGAAUUGACGGGGGCCCGCACAAGCGGUGGAGCAUGUGGUUUAAUUCGAAGCAACGCGAAGAACCUUACCAGGUCUUGACAUCCUCUGACAAUCCUAGAGAUAGGACGUCCCCUUCGGGGGCAGAGUGACAGGUGGUGCAUGGUUGUCGUCAGCUCGUGUCGUGAGAUGUUGGGUUAAGUCCCGCAACGAGCGCAACCCUUGAUCUUAGUUGCCAGCAUUCAGUUGGGCACUCUAAGGUGACUGCCGGUGACAAACCGGAGGAAGGUGGGGAUGACGUCAAAUCAUCAUGCCCCUUAUGACCUGGGCUACACACGUGCUACAAUGGACAGAACAAAGGGCAGCGAAACCGCGAGGUUAAGCCAAUCCCACAAAUCUGUUCUCAGUUCGGAUCGCAGUCUGCAACUCGACUGCGUGAAGCUGGAAUCGCUAGUAAUCGCGGAUCAGCAUGCUGUUAUCGGCGU